rnacentral:rRNA from 1 species
GACGAACGCUGGCGGCGUGCUUAACACAUGCAAGUCGAACGGUAAGGCCCUUCGGGGUACACGAGUGGCGAACGGGUGAGUAACACGUGGGUGAUCUGCCCUGCACUUUGGGAUAAGCCUGGGAAACUGGGUCUAAUACCGAAUAUGACCAUGGACUUCACGGUUUGUGGUGGAAAGCUUUUGCGGUGUGGGAUGGGCCCGCGGCCUAUCAGCUUGUUGGUGGGGUAAUGGCCUACCAAGGCGACGACGGGUAGCCGGCCUGAGAGGGUGACCGGCCACACUGGGACUGAGAUACGGCCCAGACUCCUACGGGAGGCAGCAGUGGGGAAUAUUGCACAAUGGGCGCAAGCCUGAUGCAGCGACGCCGCGUGGGGGAUGACGGCCUUCGGG